CGGACGGGUGAGUAAUGCUUGGGAAUCUAGCUUAUGGAGGGGGAUAACUACGGGAAACUGUAGCUAAUACCGCGUAAUAUCGAAAGAUUAAAGUGUGGGACUUUCGGGCCACAUGCCAUAGGAUGAGCCCAAGUGGGAUUAGGUAGUUGGUGAGGUAAAGGCUCACCAAGCCGACGAUCUCUAGCUGGUCUGAGAGGAUGACCAGCCACACUGGGACUGAGACACGGCCCAG
rnacentral:rRNA from 1 species